rnacentral:lncRNA from 1 species
ACUAAAGUAAUUCUAAUUAGUACCAAGAGCUAAAAACAAUUGCUACGUUUGCGAAGAUUACAUUACAAUCAUAAAUAAUAGUUAUGCACAUUAAGACUAUUACAAAAGUUACGAGUAAAACAAUUUCAUCGAAUCCAACCGGAAUGUAAAACCCAUAUGCCUUUUUCUUUUCAAUUUUUAAGUAGCUAGUAAGAAUGAUUGUAAGGUGAAGAUGCGAUGAUUACACAUAAAGAAACAGUUAUGUAAACUGAGAAAUAGCUUGCUGUUUAUCUUCUGAAGCAAUGAAGUGAUUACAAUUUCAUGUAAAAGACAAAAAGAAAAAAUGAAAAAACACCUCAACACAUUCUAUUUGAUUAAAGGUUCCAUAUAAUAUUACCUUCUCCUUUGAGAACAAUUUUGGAAGUCAAAACAGGGUAUCAGGAAAUUUGUGGACGCACAGCCCAUCAGACCCUCAUGAUUUGAACUACAUACAUGAUCAAAGAACAGAUUACUUCCCCAGAACACAUGACCUGGCAUGAUGCAUCCCUUGCACCAUCACCGAUGUUAACUGCAGGGCAUAAACAAGAGGUCAUUUUGGAGCCUAACCAAAUGACACAAAUGAUAUGAUCUGCUUAUCAUCGAUCAAUGGCUGGAAAAAAAUCUCUCCACUUGUUUGCACAUCUUACCUCGACUUAUUCCUCAAAAUAAUGACUAUUAUAUUUCUUCAGAGGAACGCUGGAGUAUCAUUCUCACUCAUCCAAGUAGAGAACAGAAAGUCCGCAGGACUCUUGAUGUAAUAAACCAUCACUCCACCAUCCCCACCACCCUGCCGAUUUGAUGUAAUAACUGCCUCACAACGAAAAACUUUGCAUCAGGAUCCUGAAACACCAUCUUCAAGAGNNNNN